AGAAUCAACGCUGGCGGCGUGCCUAACACAUGCAAGUCGAACGAGAAAGUGGGAGCAAUCCCACGAGUAAAGUGGCGCACGGGUGAGUAACACGUGACUAACCUACCCUUGAGUGGGGGAUAACCUAGGGAAACCUGGGCUAAUACCGCAUAAUACCUACGGGUCAAAGGAGCAAUUCGCUUUAGGAGGGGGUCGCGGCAGAUUAGUUAGUUGGCGGGGUAAUGGCCCACCAAGACAGUGAUCUGUAUCCGGCCUGAGAGGGCGCACGGACACACUGGAACUGAAACACGGUCCAGACUCCUACGGGAGGCAGCAGUGGGGAAUUUGCGCAAUGGGGGAAACCCUGACGCAGCAACGCCGCGUGGAGGAUGACAGUCUUCGGAUUGUAAACUGCUUUUCUCGGGGACGAGUAAGGACGGUACCCGAGGAAGAAGCCCCGGCUAACUACGCGCCAGCAGCCGC
rnacentral:rRNA from 1 species